rnacentral:rRNA from 1 species
GACGAACGGCUGGCGGCGUGCUUAACACAUGCAAGUCGAACGGGAGUAUUGAAGAAGCUUGCUUUAGAGAUACUUUAGUGGCGGACGGGUGAGUAACGCGUGAGGAGCUGUCCUAUGCAGGGGGACAACAGCUGGAAACGGCUGCUAAUACCCCAUAAGCCGAGAGGUAAAAGGAUCAAUCCGGCAGAGGAGGUACUCGCGUCCUAUCAGCUAGUAGGUGAGGUAACGGCUCACCUAGGCGAAGACGGGUAGCCGGCCUGAGAGGGCGAACGGCCACACUGGAACUGAGAUACGGUCUAGACUCCUACGGGAGGCAGCAGUGGGGAAUAUUGGGCAAUGGGGGAAACCCUGACCCAGCGACGCCGCGUGGGUGAAGAAAUCCUUCGGGAUGUAAAGCCCUGUUGUAUGGGAAGAGCGGAAGACGGUACCAUACGAGGAAGCCCCGGCAAACUACGUG